UACAGAGGUCCCAAGCGUUGCUCGGAAUCACUGGGCGUAAAGGGUGCGUAGGCGGGUCUUUAAGUCAGGGGUGAAAUCCUGGAGCUCAACUCCAGAACUGCCUUUGAUACUGAAGAUCUUGAGUUCGGGAGAGGUGAGUGGAACUGCGAGUGUAGAGGUGAAAUUCGUAGAUAUUCGCAAGAACACCAGUGGCGAAGGCGGCUCACUGGCCCGAUACUGACGCUGAGGCACGAAAGCGUGGGGAGCAACAGG
rnacentral:rRNA from 1 species